rnacentral:rRNA from 1 species
UCUUAUGUACAUUCCUACAAUGUUAAUGCACCAUAUUCCAUCAUAACUCUAUAGUUAAGCACACUUGGGAUAGAUUAGUACUAGGACGAGGGACCUCCCAAGAAGUCCCAAUGUUUUAGAU